CAGAAUUGCAAGCUUAAACAGAGGAAUCAUUGAAUGAAACUAAGUCACAACGCUUUAAUACAACUAGAUAACGAAACUAGCUUUAAAGAGGAAACAGAAGUACUAACCCAAGAAUUUUAUAUACAAAUCCAUGUUUGGAACCAGGAUAUUUAAUAGCACAAAAUGAAUUUGCUAGUAUCAUUUACCCAGGCCAGAAGCAGUCUUGGUUGCUUGUUCUAUACCACGUGCGAUUGUGCUUCGAAUUUUUCCAUCUUCCAAUGCCAACAAACCACUAAUUGUACAUCCGGCAGGAGUUGAAACAUCAUUACGAAUCAUAGCAGGAUGUUGACCUUGUAAAACCAUACGACCUGUACCAACCAUAGUUUGGGCAGCCAAUUCCUGAGCCUGAGGGAACGGAAUACCCAUCAUUACACCACCAUCUGUCAUAGCCUCAAUCAUAGUAGCAACAAAAGCAGGUCCACUUCCACAUACAGCGGUAGCAGCAUCAAUAAGCUUUUCGGGAAGUUUCAUUGAACGUCCAAUGCCAUUGAAUACCCAUUCAGCAAACUUUAUGUCUUCUUCAGUUGCGUUGGGUCCCGGGCAAAUUACGCUCAUACUUUCACGGAUUCGACUAGCAGUAUUGGGCAUAAUGCGAAUCACCCUAGUACUUUCAUCAAGCAUACUUUGCAAUGAAGAGAUGGUCUUGCCAGCCAAAAUUGACAAAAUUAAUUUUCCUUUGAGCGCUUCUUUCAUCUUUGGGGAAUUCAAAACAUCCUCUGCGGCCUGAGGCUUACAACUCAACAACAAAACGUUACUAAUCGCAGCCAUCUCGGCAUUCUCUUUGGCCCCCAUUACAACUUUAACACGAUCUCCGAAAAGCUUUUGAACAUCCUCUUUUUCUUUAGGAAAUUUGACACAAGCAUAGAACUUAUUCGGAAUGAUAAUUUCGUCAGAAACAUCGUUUCCAUUUUCAGCAAUGGAAUCAAAGAUUCCAGUCAAAAGUGCUUUUCCCAUUGUACCACAACCAAGAACACAAAACCCCGACAUUUUUUAAAGUUAUGCUUAAAAAUGU